ensembl:lncRNA
AUGCUUAGCCUCGUCCACCCCAGCUGUAAAACUCAGAAACCAGUCUUACUUGUUGUCAUCUAUCGUCCACCUGGGCCUUACACAGAGUUUCUCUCUGAUUUCUCAGACUUUUUAUCUGAUUUAGUGCUCAGCUCAGAUAAAAUAAUUAUUGUGGGUGAUUUUAACAUCCAUGUAGAUGCUAAAAAUGACAGCCUCAACAUGGCAUUUAAUCUGUUAUUAGACUCAAUUGGCUUCUCUCAAAAUGUAAAAGAACCCACCCACCACUUUAAUCACACUCUAGAUCUUGUUUUAACAUAUGGCAUAGAAACUGAACAUUUAACAGUGUUUCCUGAAAACCCUCUGCUGUCUGAUCAUUUCCUGAUAACAUUUACAUUUACAAUAAUUGAUUACACAGCAGUGGAGAGUAGACUUUAUCACAGUAGAUGUCUUUCUGAAAGUGCUGUAACUAAGUUUAAGAAUAUAAUCCACCCACUGUUAUCAUCUUCAAUGCCCUGUACCAACAUAGAGCAGAGCAGCUAUCUGAACGCUACUCCAACAGAGGUCGAUUAUCUUGUUAAUAAUUUUACCUCCUCACUACGUACGACUCUGGAUACUGUAGCUCCUGUGAAAACUAAGGUCUCAAAUCCGAAGUACCUGACUCCGUGGUAUAAUUCUCAAACACGUAGUCUAAAGCAGAUAACUCGUAAGCUGGAGAGGAAAUGGCGUGUCACAAAUUUAGAGGAUCAUCAUUUAGCCUGGAGAAAUAGUUUGCUGCUUUAUAAGAAAGCCCUCCGUAAAGCCAGAACAUCUUACUAUUCGUCACUGAUUGAAGAAAAUAAGAACAACCCCAGGUUUCUCUUCAGCACUGUAGCCAGGCUGACAAACAGUCAGAGCUCUACUGAGCCAACAAUCCCUUUAACGUUAACCAGUAAUGACUUCAUGAACUUCUUCACAAAUAAAAUUUUUAUCAUUAGAGAAAAAAUUACCAAUAAUCAUCCCACAGAUGUAAUAAUAUCUACAGCUACUUUUAGUACCAUCAAUGUUAAGUUAGACUCUUUUUCUCCAAUUGAUCUUUCUGAGUUCACUUCAAUAAUUACUUCCUCCAAACCAUCAACGUGUCUUUUAGACCACAUUCCUACAAAACUGCUCAAAGAAGUCCUGCCAUUAAUUAAUUCUUCGAUCUUAAAUAUGAUCAACCUAUCUCUAAUAAUCAGCUAUGUACCACAGGCCUUCAAGGUGGCUGUAGUUAAACCUUUACUUAAAAAGCAUUUCUAG